UUGAACGCUGGCGGCAUGCCUUACACCUGCAAGUCGCACGGCAGCACGGGUGCUUGCACCUGGUGGCGAGUGGCGAACGGGUGAGUAAUACAUCGGAACAUGUCCUGUAGUGGGGGAUAGCCCGGCGAAAGCCGGAUUAAUACCGCAUACGAUCUACGGAUGAAAGCGGGGGACCUUCGGGCCUCGCGCUAUAGGGUUGGCCGAUGGCUGAUUAGCUAGUUGGUGGGGUAAAGGCCCACCAAGGCGACGAUCAGUAGCUGGUCUGAGAGGACGACCAGCCACACUGGGACUGAGACACGGCCCAGACUCCUACGGGAGGCAGCAGUGGGGAAUUUUGGACAAUGGGCGAAAGCCUGAUCCAGCAAUGCCGCGUGUGUGAAGAAGGCCUUCGGGUUGUAAAGCACUUUUGUCCGGAAAGAAAUCCUUGGCCCUAAUACGGUCGGGGGAUGACGGUACCGGAAGAAUAAGCACCGGCUAACUACGUG
rnacentral:rRNA from 1 species